rnacentral:rRNA from 1 species
CGGGUGAGUAACACGUGGGUAACCUGCCCGGAAGUGGGGAAUACCUCGGGGAAACUCGAGCUAAUGCCGCAUAAAAUCUCCGGGACGAAAGUCCUGAUGAUCAAAGCGGGGUCGCAAGAUCUCGCGCUACCGGAUGGGCCCGCGCCCGAUUAGCUAGUUGGUGGGGUAACGGCUCACCAAGGCUUCGAUCAGUAACCGGCCUGAGAGGGCGAUCGGUCACACCGGAACUGAGACACGGUCCGG